rnacentral:rRNA from 1 species
GUGAGUAAAGUGGCGUACGGGUGAGUAACACGUGGAUCAUCUACCUCGUAGUGGGGAAUAACCCUGGGAAACCGGGGCUAAUACCGCAUAAGCUGUCUUUGUGUAAACAAAGCCAGGAAAGCAGCAAUGCGCUGUGAGAGGAGUCCGCGGCUGAUUAGCUAGAUGGCGGGGUAAUGGCCCACCAUGGCGAAGAUCGGUAGCCGGCCUGAGAGGGCACACGGCCACACUGGCACUGAAAUACGGGCCAGACUCCUACGGGAGGCAGCAGUGGGGAAUCUUGCACAAUGGAGGAAACUCUGAUGCAGCGACGCCGCGUGAGCGAUGAAGCCCUUCGGGGUGUAAAGCUCUUUCGACGGGAACGAUAAUGACGGUACCCGAAGAAGAAGCUGCGGCUAACUACGUGCCAGCAGCCGCGGUAAUACGUAGGCAGCGAGCGUUGUUCGGAAUUACUGGGCGUAAAGAGUACGUAGGCGGUGCUCUAAGUUUGGUGUGAAAUCUCCCGGCUCAACUGGGAGGGUGCGCCGAAAACUGGAGUGCUCGAGGGCGGGAGAGGUAAGCGGAAUUCCUGGUGUAGCGGUGAAAUGCGUAGAUAUCAGGAGGAACACCUGUGGUGUAGACAGCUUACUGGACCGCUUCUGACGCUGAGGUACGAAAGCGUGGGUAGCAAACAGGAUUAGAUACCCUGGUAGUCCACGCCCUAACGAUGCAUACUUGGUGUGAGCGAUUCAUUUCGUUCGUGCCGGAGCUAACGCGU